UACGGGGGGGGCAAGCGUUGUUCGGAAUUACUGGGCGUAAAGGGCUUGUAGGUGGCCAACUAAGUCAGACGUGAAAUCCCUCGGCUUAACCGGGGAACUGCGUCUGAUACUGGAUGGCUUGAGUGUGGGAGAGGGAUGCGGAAUUCCCGGUGUAGCGGUGAAAUGCGCAGAUAUCGGGAGGAACACCGGUGGCGAAGGCGGUUCUCUGGGCCUGUACUGACGCUGAGGAGCGAAAGCGUGGGGAGCGAACAGG
rnacentral:rRNA from 1 species